rnacentral:tRNA from 1 species
AAGAAUUUAAGUUAUAAUAAACUUCUGACCUUCAAAGUCAAAAAAAGAAACUUUUCUAAUUCUUA